AUGCGGAGCCUCUGGUUCUUCCUCUGCCUGCUGGUGGCUCCCCUGGGUGUCUUGUCUGAUCUGACCCUGCAGGAAUCAGGUCCAGGGCUGGUGAGGCCUUCAGAGACAUUGUCCCUCACAUGCACUGUUUCUGGAUAUUCCAUCGCAAGUGGUUACUGCUGGCACUGGAUCCGCCAGCCCCCAGGAAAAGGACUCCAGUGGUUGUCAAGGAUAUGCUACAAUGGAAACACGUAUUAUGAUCCCUCCCUGAAGAGUCGACUUACCACCACCAGAGACACAUCCUCAAAUAAGUUCUUCCUGCAGCUGAGAUCUGUCACCAACGAGGACACGUCUAUGUAUUUCUGUGCGAGAGACACACAAUGUGAUUAUUUUGACCACUGGGGCCAAGGGACAAUGGUGACCGUCUCCUCAGCAACCCCAUCUCCCCCAACUCUCUUCCCUCUCUUAUCCUGUGGGAAUUCCCUGCUCGACCAGAGUGAGAUGACCCUGGGCUGCCUGGCACGUGACUUCCUGCCAGACAACAUCCAGUUCUCCUGGGAUUAUAAGAACAACAGUGCCAUCGACACCCAGAAAUUCAAGACCUUCCCUUCUUUCCUGUGGAAUGGCAAGUUCGUGGCCAGCUCACAGGUGCUCCUCCCCUCCGUGGACCUCAUACAGGGCAGUGAUGACUAUCUGGUGUGCAAAGUUAAGCACGGCAGCAACAACCAGAAACUAAACGUGAAGUUCGGAGUACCCUUGGAGCUGUCCCCUAAUGUCAGCGUGUACAUCCCACCCCGGGACUCCUUCUCCGACACUGGCACUGGACAGCGCACCUCCAAACUAGUCUGCCAGGCCACCGGCUUCAGCCCCAAGGAUAUCACAGUGUCCUGGCUGCGAGAGGAAAGGCCACUGCAGUCUGGCUUCACCACCGGCAAUGUUGAGCCUGAGGUCAAAGAGUCUGGGCCAAAGACCUACCAGGUCACCAGCACACUGACCGUCUCUGAGAGCGACUGGCUCAGCCAGAAUGUGUUUACCUGCCUUGUGACACACAAAGGACUGGAAAUAAGGAAGAAUGUGUCCUCUGUGUGUGGUAACAACCCAUCGACAGGCAUCCGGAUUUUCGCCGUAUCCCCAUCCUUUGCUGACAUCUUCCUCACUAAAUCAGCCAAGCUUACCUGCCUGGUCACAGAUUUGACCACCUAUGACAGCCUGGGCAUCUCCUGGACCCGACAGAAUGGCGAGGUUCUGGAUACCAGCAAAGAAAUCUCCAAGAGCCAACCCAAUGGCACUUUUAGUGCCGUGGGCGAGGCCACUGUCUGUGUGGAGGACUGGGAGUCAGGGGAGAAGUUCACUUGCACUGUCACCCAUGCUGACCUCCCCUCACCCCUGAAACAAACCAUCACCAGGCCCAAAGACUUACUCAAGCAUGCACCUGCUGUCUACCUGAUGCCACCUACCCGGGAGCAGCUGAGCCUGCGGGAGUCAGCCUCCAUCACCUGCCUGGUGAAAGACUUCUCCCCUAAAGAUGUGUUUGUGCAGUGGAUGCACAAGGGGCAGACUGUGGCCUCUGACAGAUAUGUCACCAGCGCCCCGAUGCCUGAGCCCCAAGCCAAUGGCUUCUACUUCGCCUUCAGUAUCCUGAAUGUGUCAGAGGAGGACUGGAGUGCCGGGGACUCGUUCACCUGCGUCGUGGGCCACGAGGCCCUGCCCCACCUGGUGACCGAGAGGACCGUGGACAAGUCCACUGGUAAACCCUCCCUGUACAACGUGUCCCUGGUGAUGUCUGACACGGCCAACACCUGCUACUGA